AGUACGAGAGGACCAGAGUGGACGAACCUCUGGUGUACCGGUUGUGACGCCAGUCGCAUCGCCGGGUAGCUAUGUUCGGAAGGGAUAACCGCUGAAAGCAUCUAAGCGGGAAGCCUACCUCAAGAUAAGAUUUCCCUAGGACUUUAUGUCCUCUAAAGAGCCGUUCGAGACUAGGACGUUGAUAGGUUGGAUGUGGAAGCAUAGUGAUAUGUGAAGCUGACCAAUACUAAUUGCUCGUGAGGCUUGACUAUACAACACCCAAGCAGUUG
rnacentral:rRNA from 1 species